rnacentral:lncRNA from 1 species
UAAUAGACUAAGUUGUCUGCCAUGAGUGAGGUGGCUGGCACAGAGUUUAGAAAUUAGAGUCAUAUGGCACUUUAUUCAGCGCUGACUCUACAAACACACACCUGGCACAACCUCAACCACUCUUACAAUCCUCUCCAUGACCUGGAAAUCAGACGUGUGGUUCUCCUGCUGCCUGCUCCCUUCAGGGGAGCAGGAACUCAGACGCGUCCUCCGGGUCAGCGUCCCAAACUACUGCCCCUCCGGCGGCUCUGCUUGCUGCUCUCGGUGGCCUCAUGCGCCCUCUUGUGGCCAUUACUUGACACGGCCCCCACUCAGGGGUGGGAGGAGCUCCUUCCCUCAGCGUCUGAUCCAGUCAAUGACGGCUCAGAGGGAAAAUGGUCUGAGGCUCCCGGGGGUAAGCGUUUUGGUGAUAUGCACAUGGCUGUUUCCUACAAGUAGCGUCAGGAUGGGUGAGGCAGGAAGGUUCCAGAAUCAAUGCCCUGUCCUCAACUAUGACAGCCUGUGCCGUGGGAUGAUUCUGUGUCACAAAUCCAGCCUCCUCCCUUUGAAAAGCUCACAGACCCAUAGAGGACCAGAGCUUGCCAGCAGUCACCCAGGAUCCUGGUAACCUGACGGUGUGUUCUUGAUGGCCUGUUUAGAAACCAUGUCCAAGAACUAGAGCAUUAACUUGAAGAAAGAGGUUAAGAGCUUUCUCUCCAAUCAUUCCAAAAGUAACGCUCGUGAGACAGGCAGAAUUUUCCAGAUAAGGUGACUGCCCCAGAGAGACUGUGAUUGUCUAAGUUCUGGCCACAUUGGUACAGAAGAGCAGAUCUCUGAUUCCUUCUCUCCAGUCCUCUAGCCUGACCUGAGGAGGGGCUUUUGCUUCUGGUGGAAAGUGGUCUCUGCACAAGGCCGUAUUCCCAGCGGGAUCAGCUCAUUAGUCCCACUUGCUGAUCUUCACAGCAAUGCGCCUACUCACCAGGAGCUGCAGGUGGAAGGACCAUGUGGAGCCCAGAGCUCUGAAGGGCCAGGUCUAAUAGACCUGCAGUUCCUGUGGAGAGUGGGCUCAUAUUGGAGAGCUGGAUCUCUCGACCCCAGCCGUCUGAGAGGUGUGUGAGGUCCUCAGCAGUGCAAGAUGCAGCUGAGGGCGGGAGGAGAAGCAAGCCUGUGCUGUCACGUUCUGUUGCAGAACCCUGAAAAGUUGGCAAAUUCUAAAUCCAAGCCUGGCCUUCCAGGUUGUCAUGAAGAUAUAUAUACCAUGUUCAGAUUUCUGAAAUCGGGAAGCAUCCUACAAACCAUGACCUCUGCAUUGUGUUUCAUCAACAUUGCUGCUUCUUUGUUAGUUGUACAGUAAACGAUG